rnacentral:rRNA from 1 species
GUCGAGCGGUAAGGCUUUCACAGAUUAUUUAACCAGAUAAGUUCUUCGGAAUACUGUCUGCAGCUAUGAACCCUGGCUAGGGAACAGAGUUGAAUAAUGUGUGAAAGUACACGAGCGGCGGACGGCUGAGUAACGCGUAGGAACGUACCCCAAACUGAGGAAUAAGCUCCGGAAACGGAGUCUAAUGCCGCAUAAUAUCUUCGGAUUAAAGCCUUGUGCGGUUUGGGAGCGGCCUGCGUAAGAUUAGCUUGUUGGUGAGG